UACAGAGGUCUCAAGCGUUGUUCGGAUUCAUUGGGCGUAAAGGGUGCGUAGGCGGCGCGGUAAGUCGGAUGUGAAAUCUCGGAGCUUAACUCCGAAACUGCAUUCGAUACUGCCGUGCUUGAGGACUGGAGAGGAGACUGGAAUUUACGGUGUAGCGGUGAAAUGCGUAGAUAUCGUAAGGAAGACCAGUGGCGAAGGCGGGUCUCUGGACAGUUCCUGACGCUGAGGCACGAAGGUCAGGGGGAGCAAACGGG
rnacentral:rRNA from 1 species